GAGUUUAACAAAGACCAAUUCUGGUUAUAGAUUAAGAAAGGAUGAUCGACCUUUGUCUUAUACUCGCCUGAGAGAGAUUUUCACAGAGGCGCUUGAACCAUUUGUUUCCAAUAUUAAAGUGUAUGGCUUACAUAGCCUUCGCAGGAAUUUCAAAUAUCGUCUCUCUCGCUCUAGACACGGCAGUGUUCACAUCAUUUAACUUUUAUUUCCUUUAAUUUCAUGUAUAUAUGUAUAUAUCUAUAUUUCAUAUGCAUAAUAUCUCAUAUUUUGUUUUAUUGUUGCAGGUGGUGGUUGUAUUUGACCGUGAUGGUUGUGAAUUAAGCACAGUGUGGUGCUUGUGAGCAUUGUUUGCUGUCUGAUUUAUGUGCACUUGAUGAAUUUUGUAAACAGGUUUAAUUCCUGUUAUCUUCAUGGGUAGUAAACCAAGUUUGGUAUGUAGAGCUGAUUUGCUCAUAUUUUCUACCGUGUAUGGUUAGGUUGCAGAGCCUUUAUAACACUGAUUUGUUGUGACUUUGUUUGAUUAACAUGCCAGGCUGCGAAGCCUUUAUAAUAUCCUGUUAUACAUUGAAUGUAUUAUAAUGGUUAGUAUAUUAUGAGCAGCAAUGUUUUGCAAACUAGGCUGCAGAGCCUUGAGAAUACUGUUAUGACAUUGUUGUCCUGUGGUGAGACAAUGUUUGUUUCAUUUUGCAUCAUGUUGUAAAUACUAUAAACUUCCUAGUAAGAACUUUAGCAUUCGUCGGGAGGGCACAGUUCCAGAGUUUUUUCUCAUGUAUGAGUUGUUAUCUCUGGUUUAUGUGGCGGGCUAGUUCUACUGAACAUGAUGUCGUAUUGCAAGUUGCGUGAUGUACAUAUCUUGUUAUAAGUGCUGAAUUUUGCUGGAAUGUGGUUAUAUGAGGAUUUUGUAAAACGGAAUAAAUCUGCCAUGUGUCGCCGAGCGGCCGUUCCAAUGUUC